rnacentral:sRNA from 1 species
UUUAUGAUGACUCGGUGCACCAUGAUUUAGCCGUUGAUUAUUAGUGUAUUAAAAGCCAGAACGUGUCCAUUUCCAAGCCAUUCAACCACAACUUUAGGCUCUCACAGAGAGUAUUAAUGGCGCUGCUGCCACCAUUUUUAGGUGAUGAACAAGUUUGCUAUUGCAACCUGUGACUUCAUUUUCUUUUCAUGAAAGGGACCAAAACCUAAAGCCACACGGCACCAUACAUAGAGACCCUUU